AGACAGGCAAUUUUAUAGAGGACAAUACGGUUAUAUCAAUAAACAGUUUAAUUAUGUAAAUGUACAGCUAAUGAUCCAUAAAUUUAGCACGUAGUGUAAAUUUACAGCAUUUAACAAUAAACCUGUUUGUUCCUGAAAAUAUGUCUGGUGCUGUAAAAAGAAGCACAGAGGGGAGGGUCAGUCUUCAACGCGAGUCCUCAUUUCUCUACGGAAAGUGGAUAAGGAAAUUUCUUCACUUCACAUCUCCUCUUACGGUCCUGCGUAUACUUUGGGUGCUAAAAAAGGACACUGUUGAAGCAAGCCAGAGGCGACGGUGGCGAAGAAAAACUCCCCGAGACGAUAUGAGGAAGAAACCUUGAGAGGAACCAGGCUCAAAAGGGAAACCAUGUGGGGCCAUCCUCGGCAACCGCGAGUGAUUUCCAAGUGAUGAGAAUUUCAACCAGAGUAAGCGGUAUAGAAGAUGGAUGGAUGGAUGUUUCUUGCAGGUGAUUAUAAGAAACAUAACUUUAAAUGAGUUUCAACUACCAGGCUCAAGAGAGUUGCAUGGGUG
ensembl:lncRNA